CGGGGAAUAUUGCACAAUGGGCGAAAGCCUGAUGCAGCAACGCCGCGUGGGGGACGAAGGCUCUCGGGUCGUAAACCCCUUUCAGCAGGGACGAUUGUGACGGUACCUGCAGAAGAAGCCCCGGCCAACUACGUGCCAGCAGCCGCGGUAACACGUAGGGGGCGAGCGUUGUCCGGAUUUAUUGGGCGUAAAGAGCUCGUAGGCGGCUUGGUAAGUCGGGUGUGAAAUCCCCGGGCUCAACCCGGGGCGGCCAUCCGAUACUGCUAUGGCUAGAGUCCGGUAGGGGAGCGUGGAAUUCCUGGUGUAGCGGUGAAAUGCGCAGAUAUCAGGAGGAACACCAGCGGCGAAGGCGGCGCUCUGGGCCGGAACUGACGCUGAGGAGCGAAAGCGUGGGGAGCAAACAGG
rnacentral:rRNA from 1 species